rnacentral:pre_miRNA from 1 species
GCCCUUUUUAUGUUGUACUACUAGUGACCAAACACACAAAGCAGUGCAAUGUUAAAAGGGCAU